CCCGCCCCCUCCCCCAGUCCCCGGCGCGGCGGAGGAGGACUCAGAGGCCCCCCCGCCCCCCGCUUCGGUAUCUACUACAGCGAUGGCAGCUUCUUCUGCUCUCCCGGGAGGCCCCGCGAGUCUCCGGACGACCUGGGCUCAGAGAGGAGAAUGCCGGAGAGCGGCGAGUCCACCCUGGUCCCUGGUCUUCUUUUUCCUCCUCGGCUCCCAGAUCAAUUUUCUCAGUCCGCAUAUCCCAGCCUAUGCCCUGGUUCCUGAGAAGACCGACCCUGCGCCAGUGGGCCUAGUCCGUGGAGAGCUGGCCUGAUGGACACUCUUGUUUCCCUGGGGGUGCUUGCGGUGGCCUCGCGGAAUCUAAGGGUGUGUGUGCAUUCGAAAAUUCACUGCACCUAGGCUGAAGACCUAGUGUGCCAGACCCUGGGCCAAGUGCAAGUGCAGGAUGAAGGCUGUGGGUGGGGCCUGUGGGUGGGUGGCAGAGCCCCCCACACCUAAGGCCCUGGUGAGGAAUUGGCCAUAUGUAAGCCUUCUCUAGGUGGGAGAUGAGUGCUCUGCGAUGUCUAGCCCCCAGAGCCACCAAGAGAAACGAGUGAUAAGAGAAGGAGUGUGUGCAUGUGGUUGGGUGAGGUUGGCCCCAGAAGAAGGCAUGUUAUCUAGGCAGGAGCUUGGGCCUGAGGGCUGAGCAGAAGACCCUAGACUUUCCAGGGGCCCUGCUUGUGCAGUCUCUUUAGCCUGUUUUUGUAUAUUUUGUGGCCACAUCACCAAACUCUCUUAUUGGUUCUAAGUUUUCAUUUGACUUUCUUGGAUUGUCUAAUAAUUGUCUCCCUUCUCAAAGAUACGCCCCAGUUUUUUUAGCUUUAGGUAAUGAGGUGACAGCCCCUUACAUCUUCAGCAAGCAUAGAGAGAGUGAAGGCUCUGGUGUCAGGGCUCUAUUUCUAUCUGGCUUGAGCUCUUAGUUCCCUGUCUAAAAAGGGAGAUGAAGAGGAGUUCCUGCUGUAGCACAACAGGAUCUAUGUCUUGGGAGCACUGGGAUGAAGGUUUAAUCCAUGGCCAGCACAGCGUGUUAAGGAUCCGGUGUUGCUGCAACCGCAGCUUAGGUUGCAACUGCGGCUGGGAUCUGGUCCCUGGCUGCAGGGUGGGGGAAGAGAAGAAAAAAAGAAUCGUCAGCAGCUCUGGUGGCUGGGGAGGUUCAGGUUAGAUCCCCUGCCUAGCCUGACACGAUGUGUUAAAGGAUCCCACAGUUGUCACAGCUGCAGCUGGAAUUCAAUCCCUGGCUGGGGAACUUCCAUAUGCUUUGGGGGCGGCCAUGAAAUUGGGGGGGGGGAGAUGAAAAUAGGGCAAUUUUAGUAGAAUAUAUGUAAAGAUCUAGAACUCAAAAUCAUCAUCUUGAUGAUCAUAUUAUAGGUAAGGUAAAUUGAUAGACUCCAGGCAUUGGGUUAAGUGCUUUAUUUGUAUUAUCUCUCUAAAUCCCCACAGGAUCAGAGGAAGGUCUCUAUUUUGUGGAUAAGGGAAGUGAGGCACAGACCAGCUAAGGGAAUAUGUGUGGAGUAGGGAUGUGGUUUGACAAAGCGGUGCUCUUUGACCAUUCUGCUCGUGUGUGAUUGUUGUGAUAAAGAGAUGAUGCUUAAAAAACACCUACAAGUCCGGGUAAGUGCCCCAUGCAGGAUAGCUUUUAUUAAUUUUAUGGUUGUUUGUCACAAGAUGCUUACUUAGACUUUUAUUGUGAUGAUGAUAAAGUUCAACUUUCAACAAUGCAUUUCAAAUUCCUUUUACUUUUAGAAGUCUAGGCACUAGUUACGAUCCCGAAAUAAAUGCAAGGUACUGUGUAAUUGCAUUUUAGACCAUGGUGCAGUACACGUUUAGUCCAUCAUAAAGGGUUACCACUGAUAUUAGGACUUUUAAGAAAAAAGAUGGCGGUGGCAGUGUAGGGGGCGCGGCCGCCAACCCCGAGUGCCAGCUUGCACCCGGGAGGCCGGGCAGGGGUGGGGAGCGGGGCGGGCUGACGCCACGUGGGAGGCUCCGCCCCCUAGGACGCCCCGCCUCCAGAGCCGAGGCAUCUGCGCCUGCUCCCUCAGGCUGGGCUAGGCCUCGCCGGGCACGCGCACUCCGCCGCAUUCUGAUUGGCGGGCCUUCGCGUCCCACCGCACUCUGAUUGGUGGAGCGGCCCUAGGCCUUGGGAUCCUGGAGAUCAGAGCGGCGCUCCUGUCCUGCUCCGCUCCCUUAUCCCUUGGAACUGGAGGAGCUUGGGGUCGUACGGCAACCUGAUUGCUGUAGUCAGCAAGGACAGUCAGGGCGGCUUCUGCUUCAUUCCAGCGCUACAGUCCAGGGGCUAGGACAGCUCCCGUCGUUCUCUGUUCAGCCUCACCGCCACAGCCUCGGUCCAGCAUGUUUUCCAGGGCCCAGGUGAGGCGGGUUCUGCAGCGGGUACCCGGGAAGCAGCGACUCGGCGUCUACAGGUUCCUGCCCUUCUUUUUUGUCCUGGGAGGAACGAUGGAGUGGAUCAUGAUUAAAGUGCGCGUGGGCCAGGAGACCUUCUACGAUGUCUACCGUAGAAAAGCCUCAGAAAGACAGUAUCAGAGAAGGCUGGAAGAUGCAUCAGAAACUGAACUUCAGCAGUCAAUAAAGUGAAUAUGAAACUUUA